rnacentral:rRNA from 1 species
ACGUAGGGUGCGAGCGUUAAUCGGAAUUACUGGGCGUAAAGCGUGCGCAGGCGGUUCGCUAAGACAGGUGUGAAAUCCCCGGGCUUAACCUGGGAACUGCGUUUGUGACUGUAGGGCUUGAGUGCGUCAGAGGGGGGUGGAAUUCCACGUGUAGCAGUGAAAUGCGUAGAGAUGUGGAGGAACACCGAUGGCGAAGGCAGCCACCUGGGAUGACACUGACGCUCAUGUACGAAAGCGUGGGUAGCAAACAG